ACGAACGCUGGCGGUGUGCUUAACACAUGCAAGUCGAACGGUAAGGCCCUUUCGGGGGUACACGAGUGGCGAACGGGUGAGUAACACGUGAGUAACCUGCCCUCAUCUCUGGGAUAACAGUCGGAAACGGUUGCUAAUACUGGAUAUGAGCUUGCAAGGCAUCUUGUGGGUUGGAAAGAUUUUUUUGGUUGGGGAUGGACUCGCGGCCUAUCAGCUUGUUGGUGAGGUAGUGGCUCACCAAGGCUUCGACGGGUAGCCGGCCUGAGAGGGCGACCGGCCACAUUGGGACUGAGAUACGGCCCAAACUCCUACGGGAGGCAGCAGUGGGGAAUAUUGCACAAUGGACGGAAGUCUGAUGCAGCAACGCCGCGUGCAGGAUGACGGCCUUCGGGUUGUAAACCGCUUUCAAUUGUGACGAAGCUUUUUGUGACGGUAGCAGUAGAAGAAGCACCGGCUAACUACGUG
rnacentral:rRNA from 1 species